CCUCACCUGAAAACCAAGACUGAGAAGUGUCCUUGUUUCAUCUCCGCGUGAGGCACAGCGGCCAAGUGAGUGAGGGGAUGGCAGCACAGCAGACACUCAACAGGCCGUCCACACUCACGCCACUCACCCUGGGACGGCUGGCAUUGCGGGUCAGUGAGGACGCGGCAGCCCGCGCGGAGCACCCGUGACGCAGGACGCACAGCCCCUGAAGUUUCAGAAGAUGCCCACGACAUAGAAGACGCAAACUUUCAGACACAAACAAGGGGACACACCCACGGACACACCUGUCACGGACAGGACAGACCCGCGGUCCCUCCUGUAGGAUGGCAGGGACGCAGGAGCUGGGACAGAGGGGUGGAGGUCUGUCAGCGGGAGGCUGUGAAUUCUCACCGGGUUCUGCAGGGGUUGGGUGAGGGGUCUGUCCCGGCAGAGACAAAGACAAAGAACAUUUUGGAUGGACAAAGUGGCAUACGUGGCCAUGCACAGAGGUAAGCAGGGUGUUUUCCGUUGGACAAAUGACAUUCCUUCUGGCUUUAAUGUCUUCACUGGAGUCUCCCCCUUGACUCCUUGCCAGUCUUGACCUGGAGUAUGGGGUGCAGGGGGUUUCACAGUCGAGGCCAGUCGGAAGGGAGGCUGAAGGUACGCAGUUCGCUAGAUGUGCUGCCGGAUGCUGGGCCAGUGUUGGCAGUCUCGCCCAAGAAAGGAAAUAAUAAAACUGAACUUCAGAGAAGUCAAGUCUCCCUUGUCAGAGCCGACAAACGGUUCCUGGAAGCCACUGUGGGGCUACCAACAGAAAGUUGGCACCACUCUGCUGUGGGAUGAAAUGCCCUCCACUUAGGGCUUUUCCUUUUUUCAUACCCCACAACAUAUAAUUUGCACCAUAGAGACAUUGAGCAACACAUUGGGUCUAUGUUUGUCUGGUAAGAAGCCUGAUGAAAUUUCUGUAUUUGCUAAACCGUGCUUUCCCUGAACUCCUCCUUCCAGAGAACGCAUGGAGGGAACGGAAAUUGGGGGCUCAAGCACCCAGGAGCUCUCCUGGACCGCUCACCUCUUGUCCCAGCCCCUGCAAAGCCACAUUUCUUGGGCUUUUCUUUUUUUAAGCCCGAAGAGUAAGAAUUCAAUACAAACACUAAACUGAUCUCCUGACCUCAUUCUAGCCCUGCUGGCUACAGAAAACAAAACACUCCUGACCUGAAUCUUCACCAUUUUGACCCAAUUCCUAUUAGUGGGCACCUGUCUUCUCGCUGGACAAAGCCACAGAGACCCAGCCAGCCACCGGCUAGGAAAGUCCCCGAGUUGAACGGUCAAGAUCUGAACCAUUAAUCAGGAGACAAAACCCGGGGGUGGCAAGUCAUUUCCAGGAGGCUGAACAAGGGGCUGGCGAAUUGAUAGGACAUUGGUCAUUGCAGGUCUGAGAAGCUGAAAAACAACGUAACCGUGCCUGUCUCAGGCUGGCCCAUUCCACUGUGAUAGCCAAGAAAGGCUACGGAGAAAAAUAUUAUGACUCACAUCCUGGCAUCGACGUGACACAACACCUCAAGAUGAGCGUGUUUUGAAGAGCUGACAUUCACACAGCAUCUAGACGCCAAAAUGGUCCUUGCACCGGGUUCACGUCUCUUUCCUCUUUGUCAGACUGUCCCAGGGACAGACACGUGUCUACGGCUCUGCCUUUCUGACCUCUCCUUGCCCACUGCACUGCCGGCACGUCCCACCGGGUCAGGAACCCUCCACCGUGCCCUGAGGUCUUCCAGGAUUUCAUCCGAUUUCCAGCCCUGGGUCACAUGCUCGCCAUUCUGGGCCCUAUGGCACGUGCUUGACUGAGACCACCGAAGUGUCUGGACCUCAGAAGCCCCUGCUGAGCGGUCCUAUGCUCGCAGACGUGUCCUCCUGCACCCCUCCCUGGGACGCGGCACACACAAGGGAAGAAGUCGGCAUGUGUGUGCUUAGCCCCUUAGCAAGCAUCGGGACAAUUAAUGGGGAACGUCUCAAUGACUGAAUGUUUCUUUCUCCAAGAAACUUUGAAUUAAUUCUUCAAAUUAUUGUGCUGUGCGGGGCGGGGCGGGGGCAGGUUUGGGCAAAACCUUGCAUUGACUUUAGAGAAAUGCUAGUUUUCCCAGAAAUCUGAAGGUGGAGUAUGCUUAUACUAUAGUGAAUAAAGGUGUCCAGACACUGUGAAAUCCAGUCUUUCUUCUCUCCCAAAUUACAGAGCGUGAGAAGUGGUUUCCUGGCUUUCCGCUUCCUGCUCCGAGCAUGUUGGGAAGUGAGACCACAGGAGUCUAGAUUUACAUUGUUGGGAUAUAUUUUUUUUUUCAGUAAAUGCUUAUA